UACGAAGGGGGCUAGCGUUGCUCGGAAUCACUGGGCGUAAAGGGUGCGUAGGCGGGUCUUUUAAGUCAGGGGUGAAAUCCUGGAGCUCAACUCCAGAACUGCCUUUGAUACUGGAAAGCUUGAGUCCGGGAGAGGUGAGUGGAACUGCGAGUGUAGAGGUGAAAUUCGUAGAUAUUCGCAAGAACACCAGUGGCGAAGGCGGCUGACUGGUCCGGUUCUGACGCUGAGGCGCGAAAGCGUGGGGAGCAAACGGG
rnacentral:rRNA from 1 species